rnacentral:rRNA from 1 species
GACGAAAGUCGGGCUAAUACCGCAUACGCCCUACGGGGGAAAGGCUUCGGCCGCUAUUGGAUGAGCCCGCGUCGGAUUAGCUAGUUGGUGAGGUAAUGGCUCACCAAGGCGACGAUCCGUAGCUGGUCUGAGAGGACGAUCAGCCACACUGGGACUGAGACACGGCCCAGACUCCUACGGGAGGCAGCAGUGGGGAAUAUUGCACAAUGGGCGAAAGCCUGAUGCAGCAAUGCCGCGUGUGUGAAGAAGGCCUGCGGGUUGUAAAGCACUUUCGGUAGGGAAGAUAAUGACGGUACCUACAGAAGAAGCACCGGCUAACUCCGUG